UAAAAUGACAUUGCUCGAUAUCAUGACCAUAAUUUAACAAGUCAGUCACAAGAAAAAGCAUCUAAACUCUACAAACAACAAUAAUUAAGAAAAGAGAAAAAAACAAUAAAUACAAGUCAACAGUAAUACCUAUGGACAUCCCAUACUGUGGCAGCAAUAACAGCCUCUUCCUUGAGCCUUCUUAUAUCUCUAUCAACACAGAGAUAAAACUUCCUUCACCUUCUCAUCUGUCUCUUUUCACCAAAUUGCAGUCCAUAUCAGACUAAAAACUUUGUAAGGGAUAUUUUCUUGGCCUUCCCCUCUUCUUUGGUAAACGCCCUGUGGCACUCCCAUCUGAAACAUGCACACCUCCACCACCUCUUGCUAUCCCAGUCCUCGCAGGUGCUGCACCUGCACUCACAUUACCAUUUUUAUCACUCACUUGCUGCCCCAAGGCAAACACUGGCGGCGUAUCUGCCGUGGAGAUGCCACCAUUUUUAUCACCAACUUGCUGCCCCGGGGAGAAAAUUGGCGGCAUCCAAUUUGGAAACAUAGACGUCUGUCCCGACCCAGACCCAAUGUUUUUCGCUCCACUCUCUGAACUGCCAAACAUAAAGCCCAAAGGAAAAAAA
rnacentral:misc_RNA from 1 species